CGCGGAGGGGUACCACGUGAUGUGAGAGUAAGAUAAACUGUAGGAGAAAAGCAUUUCGUGGUGGGCCAUGAAGCCUUUCAGGACAUGUAUUGCAGUAUGGGCCGGCCCAUUACGCAAUUGGACGACAACAAAGACUAGUAUUAGUACCACCUCGGCUAUCCACAUAGAUCAAAGCUGAUUUAAAAGAGUUGUGCAGAUGAUCCGUGGCAUCAUCGCCGGAGAACGCCGGUUUUAGAGCUAGAAAUAGCAAGUUAAAAUAAGGCUAGUCCGUUAUCAACUUGAAAAAGUGGCACCGAGUCGGUGCUUUUUUGUUUUAGAGCUAGAAAUAGCAAGUUAAAAUAAGGCUAGUCCGUUUUUAGCGCGUGCGCCAAUUCUGCAGACAAAUGGCCCCGGGCUGCAAGUUCAAAUCUUGCAUUAGCGCAAGAAACGAACCCCACCCAACCCCAUAUCGACAGAGGAUGUGAAGAACAGGUAAAUCACGCAGAAGAACCCAUCUCUGAUAGCAGCUAUCGAUUAGAACAACGAAUCCAUAUUGGGUCCGUGGGAAAUACUUACUGCACAGGAAGGGGGGCGAUCUGACGAGGCCCCGCCACCGGCCUCGACCCGAGGCCGAGGCCGACGAAGCGCCGGCGAGUACGGCGCCGCGGCGGCCUCUGCCCGUGCCCUCUGCGCGUGGGAGGGAGAGGCCGCGGUGGUAGGGGGACAAGAGCACAGGGAGCCGCUCAGGUGUACCGCGGCAAGCAUCUCCGAGUCGUGUGGGACUCUACUCACUGCGAAGACGGGGGCAGAGAGCUCUAGAAUCGUGCGGCCAGAGAGCGAGUAUCGCACCAGAGCCACUGUAGCGCGAUGUGAUCGUAGUGCACGUAGAGAGGAGCUGCGCGUGGCGCCUGAUCACUACAAGACAUAAAUCGAUGACUCUACUAUCUGCACUCGCGUCAUUAUCGCGCGUCUAGAAAGACACACAAUAAGAAUUAGAAGAGAGAGCCCAAAGACGCUUUCAGGGGAGAAGAGGUAAGGGUAUGUAUUAGGGAGGGCAGGGGAGGGGAGAAGAGAAAUCUGGAUUAGAGGAGAAGGCUUGGGAACGGAGGAGGAGGGGAGGAUACGCAAUAAGAGGGUUGGUAGACCCGAUGUGGUAGGGGGAAGUAGAAUGGAGCAGGAGGGGGGGCGCGGGCGGACCGCGGAAGGUCGGAGGCCAGGGAGAAGGGGGGAAGGUGCUAGACAAAGUCGGAAGGGGGGGAUAGGGGUAAGGAAGGGAGAGGGGGCGGACGGGGAGAGGGCUGGGUGAGUAGGGUGUCGGAAGAAGGUAAGGGGCGCUGCGAGACAGUAGGAGGGGGGGGGGGAGUAUACGAGAGGAUAGAAAAUCGGAGAAGAGGGGGAGCAAGGCAGAGGGGAGGAGGGAAGCGAGGGCUGGCGUCGCGGGGAACAGGGAGAGAAUGGGGUCGAAG
rnacentral:guide_RNA from 1 species